GACGAACGCUGGCGGCGUGCCUAAUACAUGCAAGUUGAGCGAUGAAGAUUGGUGCUUGCACCAAUUUGAAGAGCAGCGAACGGGUGAGUAACGCGUGGGGAAUCUGCCUUUGAGCGGGGGACAACAUUUGGAAACGAAUGCUAAUACCGCAUAACAACUUUAAACAUAAGUUUUAAGUUUGAAAGAUGCAAUUGCAUCACUCAAAGAUGAUCCCGCGUUGUAUUAGCUAGUUGGUGAGGUAAAGGCUCACCAAGGCGAUGAUACAUAGCCGACCUGAGAGGGUGAUCGGCCACAUUGGGCCUGAGACACGGGCCAAACUCCUACGGGAGGCAGCAGUAGGGAAUCUUCGGCAAUGGACGAAAGUCUGACCGAGCAACGCCGCGUGAGUGAAGAAGGUUGUCGGAUCGUAAAAAUCUGUUGGUAGAGAAGAACGUUGGUGAGAGUGGAAAGCUCAUCAAGUGACGGUAACUAACCAGAAAGGGACGGCUAACUACGUG
rnacentral:rRNA from 1 species